rnacentral:rRNA from 1 species
GACGAACGCUGGCGGCGUGCUUAACACAUGCAAGUCGAACGGAAAGGCCCUGCUUUUGUGGGGUGCUCGAGUGGCGAACGGGUGAGUAACACGUGAGUAACCUGCCCUUGACUUUGGGAUAACUUCAGGAAACUGGGGCUAAUACCGGAUAGGAGCUCCUGCUGCAUGGUGGGGGUUGGAAAGUUUCGGCGGUUGGGGAUGGACUCGCGGCUUAUCAGCUUGUUAGUGGGGUAGUGGCUUACCAAGGCUUUGACGGGUAGCCGGCCUGAGAGGGUGACCAGCCACAUGGGGACUGAGAUACGGCCCAGACUCCUACGGGAGGCAGCAGUGGGGAAUAUUGCACAAUGGGCGGAAGCCUGAUGCAGCAACGCCGCGUGCGGGAUGCCGGCCUUCGGGUGGUAAACCGCUUUCGCCUGUGACGAAGCGUGAGUGACGGUAAUGGGUAAAGAAGCACCGGCUAACUACGUG